rnacentral:rRNA from 1 species
GGGGACGUAACAAAGCGACCCAGGAAUGCUUGGGCGUGCCUCCACCCAUGCCGGCGUCGGCGGGCGUAUUUCGCCUCACAGUAGGUCGCCGCGACCCGUUGCUUUUGGGGACGUCGAAGGCCCGGACGGAUUGGUACCCUACCGGCUGGGGAUGCGGCUUCGGCUUCUCCUCUUGUCCGGUGGGCGAAACCGCCGGUGUCCUGGCUGCCCUGCGACGGUCGUAGAGACGAGCCCUUCCCAUUCGUGGGGGGCGGCUCUCGCGGCGUGCAAAAGGUCGGUGAUCCACCCGACCCGUCUUGAAACACGGACCAAGGAGUCUAACAUGUGUGCGAGUCAGUGGGCGCACUAAACCCAGAGGCGUAAUGAAAGUGACACGGGUUCGGCUGUCGCCUCGUGUGGCAGCCGGACUCUGGGCCGAUCCCUCACCGGUUGCCCUCGCCUCUCUCCCGCGUCUCGGUAAGCCGGGUGAGCUAUUUUCCCCGGCCAAUGCUGCGGGGCUCGGGAGGAGGCGGGGUUGCGAUGGUGUCCGUCAAAAAGAGCCUGCUGUUGCAGGGGGGCGCAGGCCCGGGACUUGCCAGGACGCCGCGAGACUGUCACUUUGCUGUGAGGCUCCAGGGCCGAUCAGCGGGUCAUGCGUGCAGUCGGCAAGUACCAUGAGCAGACAUGUUGGGACCCGAAAGAUGGUGAACUAUGCCUGGCCAGGAUGAAGCCAGAGGAAACUCUGGUGGAGGUCCGUAGCGAUUCUGACGUGCAAAUCGAUCGUCGGAGCUGGGUAUAGGGGCGA